CGGGUGGCCUUUUGCAGUUGGCAGAUCAUAAUUUUGUCAAUGUCUAUUGUUUCCAAAUGCCGGCUGAGAUCUUUUGGCACGGCACCCAGUGUGCCCAUCACCACCGGGACCACCUGCACUGGUUUCUGCCAGAGUCUUUGAUUAUUAUUAUUAUUAUUAGGUUCAUACUUAUUUACCCAUAUCAUCAAAGGCCGACUCAAUUAUUUUUCACAGCUAUUCCAAGCUCCUUAGAAGAAAGCAAAAUGCAAUUCCCAUUGAAUGGUUCCAUUCUCACUUGCCCUCUUUUGAACUCUGUGUUGUUAUUUGUAAGCGGAUCUAGGAAGGAUCUAUUGAGCUGUGUGUAUAAUCCUACUCAAAUUAAAUUCAUAUCACUGUGGUUGUAUAAAGUGUAUCGCAGGUUGAGUUUCUCUUUCCUGGAAAUCCAAAAGAAUCCCGAAAGGUUAAACGUUAACCCGGUGUUUGUCUUUCCUCCCCUUUGGCAGGUGGGUCCGGCCAUGGGCCUUGCUGGACCUUGCGCAGAGGGGUCCCCGGGGUCAAAGGACUUCCGCCGGGAGAGGCUCCCAUGGUGAGGCCUGGCAUGGAGCCCUCUGCCCCCGGCGGUGACCCCGGCCUCAGGGACCGUUAUGGAGAGAGCCGGUCAAGACCUCCGGACGAAAGCGUGGACCCCUCCUCUCCGUUUGCAUUGCUGGAAGACCUGGACCUGUGGCUGGACGGCUGGCAGGGGGCAAAAGGGGCAAAAGGGACCACCGUUAAUGAGGGGCCACCCUCAACACAGGAGGCGAGCCCCCCAAAAAUAGACAAGGACCCCACACUGGACCUCUUCCAGGCCAGCAUCCGCCAGGCCCAGCUCUGCGUCCUGGAGCUGCAAGGGGAGAUUGACCGGCAGGCCGUGAGCCCCACGAGACCCUCGCAGGAGCCUUUGCGCUUGACCACUGACAGCGAGGAAGAGGAGGAUGAAGAAGAGGAAGGAAUGCCAGAAGAGGAAGAGGAGGAGGAGAUGGAGUGCUUGUUCUACGACAACCCUCUCUUCCAGGAGAGCCCCGUACCCACAAAAGUCCCCGUUGGCUUUGAAGAUCCAGCUUCAGAGUCCCAGGAAGUGACCUCUCCUCCCGGCCGCAAAGAGAUCCUUCUUGGCUGGACAAGGCAAACUCCGGACACCAAAACAAGUGACCAAGUCGGCUUUGAAGACACAGCUGCGGAGUCCCGGGAAGUGGCCUCUCCUCGCGGCCUCAGAGAGAACCUUCUUGGCUGGACAAGGCAAACUCCGGACACCAACACGAGUGACCCCAUCGGCUUUGAAGAUCCGGCUUCAGAGUCCCGAGAAGUGGCCUCUCCUCCCGGCUGCAAAGAGAUGCUGCUCCGCUGGACAAGGCACUCUCCGGACACCAACACGAGUGACCAAGUCGGCUUUGAAGACUCAGCUCUGGAGUCCCAGGAAGUGGACUCUUCUCCUCCCGGCCGCAAAGAGAACCUUUCUGGCUGGACAAGGCAAACUCCAGAGUCCCAGGAAGUGGACUCUUCUCCCGGCCGCAAAGAGAUCCUUCUUGGCUGGACAAGGCACUCUCCGGACACCAACACAAGUGACCAAGUCGGCUUUGAAGAUCCAGCUUCAAGGUCCCGGGAAGUGGCCUCUUCUCCUCCCGGCCGCAGAGAGAUCCUUCUUGGCUGGACAAGGCAAACUCCGGACACCAACGCGAGUGACCCCGUUGGCUUUGAAGACUCAGCUCCAGAGUCCCAGGAAGUGGACUCUUCUCCCGGCCGCAAAGAGAUCCUUCUUGGCUGGACAAGGCACUCUCCGGACACCAACACAAGUGACCAAGUCGGCUUUGAAGAUCCAGCUCCGGAGUCCCAGAAAGUGGCCUCUCCUCCUCUUGACCCCAAAGAGAUCCUGCUUCGCUGGACAAAGCACCCUCCGGACACCGCCACCAGUGACCCCAGCCCCAUCUUGACCAGUCUGCCCCAAUGCCACCCCCUUCCUCCGCUGGUCAUCACCGAAGAAGGAGAAGAAGAGGAAGAGCUGGACCUCGCCCGGAAAGAAGAGAAGGAAGAGGAAGGCAACAAGACGCAAGCCCCACAGGGUCUCCCUCCCCAGCCGGAUGGCGGUCUCUCCGGAGGUGUUUCCGAAGGUCCGGCCACAGACGCCCACCCAGCCGGCCAAGGCCUCCUCUUCUCCGCUUGCAGCUCUUCCUUGGUCUCAUCGCUGCUGAUGCUGGAGGAGACCCCCGAGUGCCGUCCCCUGGAGGAGAGACCCCGACCCACAUUUCCGUCCCCCAAAGAGACCCCUCCCCGCCCCCCACCGCUGCCCUUGGCCCCCCGACUCCAGGAGCCCCAACGACUCAAGGAGCCUCCUCCACGGGCCUCCUUCCGGAGCCACCCGCCGGCCUCCUGCGCAUGGGCAGAGGGGCCCCGGGGAGCUUCCUGUCUGCGGGAGGAAGGCUCUGCGCAGGAUCCGCACCCGGUCCCGCUCCGCAGCCCAUUGAGGAAGUUGCCGGGGCCUUUGGACAAGCUGCCCACCGAGGGGCCGGCAGAAGAGGAGGAGGAGGAGGAGGACGUGGGGGAGACAGCAGCCCCCCAGAAGUAAGUCUGCCCUAUGGAGGAUCCCCUGUGGGCCCCCCUCCCCCUUCCGCCUGUCAGUCAGCCGCCCACAACAUCCUCCUGCAGUGGUUUGAGGCUGAGCGAGAGGCAGCCGGAGGAGGAAAGGCUCAGGGCGGAUCACACUAUAUACAUAUAGGGCAAAUAUUCAAUGCCCAUAUACACAUAGAACUGAGACAGAGACAGACGCAGAGGCAAUUUAACCUUCUCCUGAGGGCAUGUUCAAUUCCAGCCACAGGGGGGAGCAGCUGCUUCAUCGUCCACUGUGACGGCACUUCCUCAUUCCAACCUCGUAAAUUAGUUAAAUUUGCCUCCCCACUUUAUAAGUGGUACCUUAUUUCCCACUUGAUAAAGGUAAAGGUUUCCCCUGACAUUACGUCCAGUCAUGUCUGACUCUGGGGUUGGUGCCCAUCUCCAUUUCUAAGCCGAAGAGCCGGCAUUGUCCGUAGACAUCUCCAAGGUCAUGUGACCAGCAUGACUGCAUGGAGCACCGGUUACCUUUCCACCGGAGCAGUACCUGUUUAUCUACUCACACGCUGGGGGUUGGUGCCCAUCUCCAUUUCUAAGCCGAAGAGCCGGCAUUGUCCAUAGACAUCUCCA
rnacentral:lncRNA from 11 species